rnacentral:lncRNA from 1 species
GAUAAAUGGUAGUCAUUUUCUGAAAUUAAUGGUUUUGAAGUUCAUCCAAACAAACUUCAAAGCUAAAGGCAUAUUUUAACGUGAUAAGUAACUUUAUAAAACAAAAUUUGAAAAAUGAGAAAAAAUAGGGGGGCCAAAAACGGGCCUUAUCUUACCUUGUCCUUUAUAGUAAACUGAGAAAUCGGAUAAAUAAAUGGAAACAUUUAAUUUAACAAAGACUUAGAAAUUGAAAUCAUACUUAGAAAUUGAAAUCAUUAACAAUUUUAUAUAUGUUGUGUACAAGUUGUAAUGUUGUACACAUUAUAAUUUGUACAGAUUUUUUGUACAAGUUAUCAGUGUUUUAUGAACUGCUUAACACACAUGGGUGAUGCAAGCAUACAGUCUUUUGUUUCGCAUAUUUCUGUCAUAUUUUCACAACUACAUGCUACAAUCUAAUACUGGGCAUUGCUAAACAAAAUAUUAUAAGACCACAAACAGACUUUUAUGGAUAUGAAUAUGGUAUCAGGAGAAAAAUAAAAUUAGAAUUUAAAUCAUUCAGGUAUCCUCAGUUCCAUUUUGAGGACAAGGAGAAUAGCACUAAAUGUUAGGUUUAAGUAUAUAAAUUUGAAUUUAAAACACUAAACUGGUACAUUUUUGAAGAUAAACCUGUAUCACCUGGUACAAGAAGGUGUGUGUCAAAAAACUUAUAACUUGUACAAAAACCCUGUACAAAUUAUAAUUUGUACAAACUUACAUCUUGUACACAACAUAUACAUAUACAUGACGUGUUCCUCACAAGUUUCAAUGUGUUAUUACCAAUGUUAUUUCAACUAAUCGGGCGGAGCUUACGUUUUAAUUUGCAUAAUGACAGUCUACUUAAGAUGUGUGCAUUAGGAUGAUUGCCGUUAUAAUAUUAUUACUGAUUUCUAAUCACCUAUCAGUGUCAUCAAAGAAAUACUGGACACGUCAUAGGUGAGUUUAUCCUAAAACACCUAUCUAUAGAUGGACUGGUUUAUUAUAAGCGAACCGGUUAAACUCCGCCCAGUCAAGUAAAAUAAAUCGAGUAAUACUAAUUACUUAAUAUUAAAGAGUCAAUAAUUAUGUAGUUAUUAACUUGUUUACGUAACCUAUAUACAUCUCUUAAAUGUCAUUUAUCUAUAUUGUAAAUAAAACAAUAAAGUAACAAAAAGCUGCUGUUCCAACGAAUACAG